AGCAGAAAUAAGAUCUACCUCAGGGUACCCAGAAUAGUUUGCCGCGUUUCAUUUCACAUUUCUUUAACAAGCUCUGACUUCUAUUGGGCAUGAUAUAAGUGAUACUAAAUAUGAAUUGUUUUCUUUUUACCAGCUUAUAAAGUUAAAAUUACAUCCAUUGUUGAAGAGAACAUUUUUGUGAAGUACAGUGCAGCCCUCCUGGACAUCUACAAAGCUGGUGAAGCUGCUGUUGACAAAGACUCAGAAAUCACCUUCCUUAAAAAGAUAACAUGUGCUAAUGCUGACCUGGAAAAAGGAAAACAAUACUUAAUUAUGGGUAAAGAAGCUCUCCAGAUAAAACAACACUUCAGUUUUAAGUAA